AACGAGGCCGACCUGCGGCUGAGUUACCUGCGGAAGGAUCAUUACAAGUGACCCCGGUCUAACCACCGGGAUAUUCAUAACCCUUUGUUGUCCGACUCUGUUGCCUCCGGGGCGACCCUGCCUUCGGGCGGGGGCUCCGGGUGGACACUUCAAACUCUUGCGUAACUUUGCAGUCUGAGUAAACUUAAUUAAUAAAUUAAAACUUUUAACAACGGAUCU
rnacentral:misc_RNA from 1 species